UACGUAUGGUGCGAACGUUGUUCGGAAUCACUGGGCAUAAAGAGCACGUAGGCGGUUAAGCAAGUCCAUUGUGAAAUCCCCCGGCCUAACCGGGGAACUGCAUUGGAUACUACCUGACUUGAGUGCAGGAGGGGAGAGUGGAAUUCCAGGUGGAGCGGUGAAAUGCGUAGAUAUCUGGAGGAACGCCGGCGGCGAAAGCGACUCUCUGGUCUGUAACUGACGCUGAGGUGCGAAAGCUAGGGGAGCAAACGGG
rnacentral:rRNA from 1 species